GUAAAUGUAGCUUAAUAAUUAAAGCAAAGCACUGAAAAUGCUUAGAUGAAUUAUAUAAUUCCAUUAACA
rnacentral:tRNA from 1 species